rnacentral:lncRNA from 1 species
UUCCAGGGUACUUGCUAUCCAGAAAAAGUCAUGAUAGUUAAGCUCACUGCUCCUACUGUACUACUGCUGUCACUGAUCUUCUCUUCUGGGUGUUCAACCACCAAAGUGAAGAGAUCAACACUAAAAGCAAGCCACAGAAGAGAAGAGAGAAACAAAUGACUGGAAUCCUGGCAGCUUGGGUUUGACACCUGCACCUUUAGAGGACUCAUGUAUGGAUAAUUCUGCAGUGUCAUUAUUCCAGGCCUGACCAAUGGUAUCUUUGUGAAAUCUUAUUUGAAACAUUUAGAAUAAGGAAUAGGUGCCUAAAAUGGAAGGCUAGCAAAGAAAUUGCAAGCUAAGACUAUUCAAAGCAAUUAAAUAAAAAUGUCAGUGCUG